rnacentral:rRNA from 1 species
GACGUAGGGCGCAAGCGUUGUCCGGAUUUAUUGGGCGUAAAGAGCUCGUAGGCGGCUUGUUGCGUCGACCGUGAAAACCCGUGGCUCAAACUGCGGGCUUGCGGUCGAUACGGGCGGGCUAGAGUUCGGUAGGGGAGACUGGAAUUCCUGGUGUAGCGGUGAAAUGCGCAGAUAUCAGGAGGAACACCGGUGGCGAAGGCGGCAUCCUGGACCGGCAUUGACGCUGAGGCGCGAAAGCUAGGGGAGCAAACG